rnacentral:lncRNA from 1 species
GAAAGUGGAGCAGAAGCACGUUUUUAGAACUUCUGCCCAGAAGCCUGCCUGGACCAGGGACACCAGACAGGUGCCCACCAUAACUGUCAUCUGAGAGGCUUCACUGAGCAAAUAAUGAAAACAGAUGCAGAGACCCACAGCCAGACAUUAAGUGAAGCUUGGGGAAAUCUGUGGAAGAGGAGGAGGAAGGAUUGAAGGAGCAAGAGAAGUCAAGGACACUAAAAGAAAAUCUACAAAAUCAUCUAACCCUGGACCCUUGGAGGCUCACAGAGACUGAACUGGCCAGCCAGAGCGCAUGCAUGGGAAGGACCUAGGACCCCUGCACAUAGGUAACAGCUGUGCAGCCGGGCCUUCAUAUGGGACUCCUAACGUGGGAGCAGGAGUUGUCUCUAACUCUGUUGCCUGCCUUUCUCCUAACUGGGCUGACUUGUCUAGACACAGUAGAAGAAGAUGCACCUAGACUUACUGCAACUUGAUGUUCCAAGGCUGGUUGUUAUUCAUGGGAGGCCUCCCCUUUGCUGAGGAGAAAGGAUGGGGG